CCUACGGGCGGCAGCAGUGAGGAAUAUUGGUCAAUGGGCGGGAGCCUGAACCAGCCAAGUCGCGUGAGGGAAGACGGUCCUAUGGAUUGUAAACCUCUUUUGUCGGGGAGCAAUGCCGUGCACGUGUGCCCGGAUGGAGAGUACCCGCAGAAUAACCAUCGGCUAACUCCGUGCCAUCAGCCGCGUUAAUACGGAGGAUGCGAGCGUUAGCCGGAUUUAUUGGGUUUAAGGGGUACGUAGGAGGAUUUUUAAGUCAGGGGUAAAAUGUGCGGGAUCAACCCGAGCCUGCCGUUGAAACUGGGGAUCUUGAGUGUGCGAGAGGUAUGCGGAAUGCGUGGUGUAGCGGUGAAAUGCAUAGAUAUCACGCAGAACUCCGAUUGCGAAGGCAGCAUACCGGCGCCCGACUGACGCUGAGGCACGAAAGCGUGGGGAUCGAACAGGAUUAGAUACCCGGGUAGUC
rnacentral:rRNA from 1 species